rnacentral:misc_RNA from 1 species
UAAUAGCACAUAAUAAAUCAACUGAGAGACGCGAUAACAGCGCGCUGUAGCUGACAAUCGGCAUGUCAAGUGUCAUAUGUGAAUCAAAACAAAAGAUGAUUUCAUUUAUUAAUAACAGACGUUAAUAAUUUGUCUUCAUCAGCUGAGUGACUGGGUUUGCUUUGUGAAAAGUUGCCGAAAAUUGCAAGAAACGUUCCUGAAAAGGAAUACCGAACACUCAGCGAUAUUACAUAGAAAUUAACAUUUACCUGCCAACACCAGUCUUUACAGAAAAAAGAACGACAAUUUUUUGUUGUUGUAGAUUCCCGGUGGACUGUAAAAACUGGAUGAGUAAUUUUGAAACUUGGGGAUUCACAGUUUCGCUGAACAUAUUUAAUAGAGAUAAUUCGUAUCAUGAAAGUAUUCCUUAAAUAGUUAAUGGAAAAAUGUUGUCAGAAGUGUCGAAAGAAAUUAAAUAUUAUCUCAAACACUGUCAAAUCUUAAAAAGAAUCUUAAGAGAAACAAAUAGUUCAUUAAACGAUAUCAAUAAUCUGCUACAAUUAGGAACUGAUAUCAAGAGAGAACUAUCAAUCUAUGAUGAAUUGGAAGCACUUUCCCAAAAGGUGGAAAGAACUCCAAACCUUAUUAUUUUUGGACAAUCCUGCCAUGCUAAAGCCGUACUUGUUAACAUGUUACUUCAACAGAAAAUUCUUCCGUAUUUCAGUAGUCAAUGGAGACAUAUUACUUUCAAAUAUGGCCAAGCAAAAAGUGUUCAUUUAAUGCUCGGAGAGGAAAUCGAAAUUGUCGAAAAUUUGAAUGUUCAUGAAGAACCAAACUGGGAAACAAUCCCAGAAGAAGACAUACAAAGAAAUGACAAAGAAAACUUACUGGAUCACUGUCCUUCUAUUGAAGUAAUGCUGAAACACAAACUAUUAAAAGAAAAUGUGAAAAUUAUAGUACCCCCUGAUUGCCAUCGAGAUCAGUUAGUUGAAGUGUUGGAGAGAAUAGGGGAAAAGGUUUUACCUGUGAUAAUAUAUGCUUUAUCUGAAGAUACUCUUAGUGAUUUUAACAUACAAGAAAUUAGAAAGUUAAAAGAUAUAUAUCUUGUCCCAUUUUUGUUUGUAAGCGUAAAUAAAAUUGAAUUACCUGCUCUAAAUACUGAAUCAUUAACCGAGCCAAAGAAACAUUCACUGGAAAGCAAUGGCGAAGAAAAUGUCAACCAGUUACAUAGUCUGAAAGAGCAAUUGACUAGAUUGGGAUAUAUAAGCAAUGAUUCUGAUUCUGAUCUGAGUGUAACUUCCGAGCAAACAGACGAAUUAUUAAGGAAAAAGCCUUUUUGUUUGGAAUGCUCUUUAGAUAAUGCUUUAAUGAGUGACAAAACGAUUAAUGAGGACUUUAUUUUGUUUAUUAGAGAAAUACUGAGGUCGAGCAAACUUAAAAUGGCCCUGUCCUUAAGUGAGCUUCACAAUUCAUGCCUACGGAAGUUUAUACUGUGCGCAUUUGAUAUGGCCCGUGAGAUUCAGAUAACACCAAAACGAAUUCUCUAUGCUCAGGAUGUGGAAAUGAAAAUGUUCACAAGCCUCAUGACAAUUGCUAGCGAACAACAGGAAGAAAUUACAUCAAUAAUACAAAGAACAUUGCAAGACAUGAAAUCUAAUGUUGCCGAAGUCCUAGAAGGAUACAACUCUUCAGCUCUCGUUUCCCCCAAGGUUGCAACUAUGGAAAUCCAGCAGCUGGUUCUAAAGACACUGGCAGCUUCUGUGGCCAUUCAAAUAGUUCAAUCAGUAGGUUGUUUACAGGAGAGUUUCACUGGUACUCUUGAAAGAUGCUUGGAAAAUCUGGAAAAAAGCUGUCGUGAGUUAGAGGGAAAUUUAUCCGCAUCUGAUGCGGUGAAACAGAUUAUCCACGCAGCGUACAACAUUGAUCUGAAAACCCCAACAUCAUUUUCAAUAGUCCAUACAUUUAUGGACCGAUUACGGAAAUUGCUGGGUAGCUUCUCAUCGCCUUGGUCGUCUACAGGACAAUUUAAUUGCACGUUACAGUGGCAGCUUCAAGUGGUUACUAAUAUGAUCGACUCUUUGAGUGCCUCGAAAUUGGCAAAAACCAUUUCUGCCCAGUUCCAAGAGCAUGUAAAGUCAUCUCAUGCUGCUUUCCAAUGUGCAAUGCGAAGUCUGGAAAAUCAACUUUCCGAUCAAUUAGAGCAGACCGAAGAGCAGAGGAUUGCAAUAAGGAAAAAACAUGCUCCUAGAUUUGCGCGAUUGGCCUUAGAAAGCACGUCAUUGUGCGACUUGAUAAAAUGGGGAAUGCCUAAACAAAUUCGGGAAAUUGGUAGAGGCCAGUAUGGAGUGGUGUCAUCGUGCGAACCUUGGGGUAAAAUCAGCCCUUGUGCGUUCAAAUCUGUCGUACCACCCGACGAUAAACACUGGAAUGACCUAGCGAUGGAAUUUUACUACACCAGAACGAUACCAGAACAUCCCAGGAUUGUCAAGUUACGAGGUUCGGUGAUAGAUUACAAAUAUGGUGGUGGUAGUUCACCGGCAGUUCUUCUUCUAAUGAAUAGAAUGACUAAAGAUUUGUAUUGUGGUCUGAAGUCCGGCUUAACUUGGUUGAAGCGUCUUCGAAUAGCGAUCGAUGUGAUUGAAGGCAUACGAUAUUUGCACUCUCAAGGCUUGGUGCAUAGAGAUAUAAAGCUGAAAAAUGUCUUGUUGGAUGAUGAAGAUAGAGCUAAACUGACUGAUUUUGGAUUCUGUAUACCAGAAGCUAUGAUGUCGGGAAGUAUUUGUAGAUGUUUAUGCCUUUGGGAUACUGUUCUGGUAUAUUUGUGCCGGACAAGUGAAACUUCCUUCUCAGUUUGAUCAGUUUCAAAAUAAAGAACAACUAUGGAACAGUGUUAGAAAAGGUAUUAGGCCAGAAUGCUUAACUCACUUUAAUGAGGCUUGUUGGAAUCUCAUGGAGCAAUGUUGGUCGGCUGAACCUUCCGAACGGCCUCUUUUAGGCAAUGUGCAGCCGCAACUUGAACAAAUUUAUAAAAGUGUUAAAUAUGGAUUAAACCAAGAUUCGUAAUCGGAAGAGGAAUUGAAAUGAAUCUGUAUAAAGCUGUAAAUAUGUUGUUUAAAAUAUUUAACGUUUUAUAUUCUUAUUUUUAUUAAAUGAUGUU